rnacentral:tRNA from 1 species
GCCGGCGUAGCUCAAUGGUUAGAGCGGAGGAUUCAUAACCCUCAGACGGUGGUUCGAUUCCACCCGUCGGCA